GGUCCAGACUCCUACGGGAGGCAGCAGUGAGGAAUAUUGGUCAAUGGGCGUAAGCCUGAACCAGCCAAGUCGCGUGAGGGACGACGGCCCUACGGGUUGUAAACCUCUUUUGCCGGGGGACAAACGGCGGCACGCGUGCCGUCCUGAGGGUACCCGGAGAAAAAGCAUCGGCUAACUCCGUGCCAGCAGCCGCGGUAAUACGGAGGAUGCGAGCGUUAUCCGGAUUUAUUGGGUGUAAAGGGCGUGUAGGCGGGAGCGCAAGUCAGAUGUGAAAACUCAGGGCUCGACCCUGAGCCUGCAUUUGAAACUGUGUUUCUUGAGUGCUGGAGAGGCAAGCGGAAUUCCGUGUGUAGCGGUGAAAUGCGUAGAUAUACGGAGGAACACCAGUGGCGAAGGCGGAUUGCUGGACAGUAACUGACGCUGAGGCGCGAAAGCGUGGGGAGCAAACAGGAUUAGAUACCCGUGUA
rnacentral:rRNA from 1 species